AACGAACGCUGGCGGUAUGCUUAACACAUGCAAGUCGAACGAACAAAAUUGGGGCUUGCUCCAACUUUUAGUGAGUGGCAAACGGGUGAGUAACACGUGGGAAUCUACCUAUCAGUACGGAAUAACAUUUGGAAACAAAUGCUAAUACCGUAUAUUCUCGAAAGAGGAAAGAUUUAUCGCUGAUAGAUGAGCCCGCGCAAGAUUAGGUAGUUGGUAGGGUAAUAGCCUACCAAGCCAACGAUCUUUAGCUGGUCCGAGAGGAUGAUCAGCCACACUGGGACUGAGACACGGCCCAGACUCCUACGGGAGGCAGCAGUGGGGAAUAUUGGACAAUGGGCGAAAGCCUGAUCCAGCAAUACCGCGUGAAUGACGAAGGCCUUAGGGUUGUAAAGUUCUUUUAGUUGGAAAGAUAAUGACGGUACCAACAGAAAAAGCCCCGGCUAACUCCGUGCCAGCAGCCGCCGCAGUAAA
rnacentral:rRNA from 1 species